GCAGAUCCCCUUUGGCCUUUUCCCCUGGGGCGACUCCGGGGGCCAGUUACCAGCAGUCGCUACCCAGCCUUGGCUGCCUCCGUGAAUCAGGUGCUAAUGAGAGGCCUGGUCUCUGGGGGCUCCCCUGCCUGGGUUUUCUGAGUGCGGCAGAUUUAGGCUGGGGGAUUUCCUGCGGUCCUGCCCCACGCAGCAAGACCGAGAAGGCUCGCCUGGUGGGAAGAGGUGGGCUACGUGACUCACCCCGGGGAGGCCUGACCUCCCUACCCUGGGGGAGCGGAUGGCUGGAUCUCUGACCUCAGACCUCACGGCCUUAGAUGAUGUGUGUCCCUUAAUGUCUGCAUUGUGGUUCUGUCUGGAAUGGAUCAAUUUCUAGCCUGUAGCAGAAUUGUUUUGGGUAUUCUAUCAACGUUAUUAAAUUCUUAAGUUUCUCUCCGGCGACAGAAUCCUGAGCCAGUGGUUUUUCUUUUUAAUUUAUGUAUCCUCAACAAUGUCCCGAACAUAGUAGGUGCUUAAUAAAUAUUUGCUGAAUGAGUACAUGCGUCAAUCUGAUGUGCCCUGGCUCACCCCUGCUGACUUCAUUUUAUCUUCUUGCUAAACGAGUUACAGACAUGCUGGUCUCCUGUCUGUUCCUUGAACCUGUCAGGCUCGCUGGGCUGUGCUCUCUAUCCAGACACUGGAUCCCCAGCUCUCUGCAUAGCUGCCUGUUAUCGCUGAGGUAUCAGCCCAAAUGCCAUCUCUCCUAAGAGGCUUUUCCUAACCACCCAAUUCCAGCAUUGUCCAGAGAGAGGCUGCCCAGUUGAAUACCCGAGUUCUCAAGGCCAUGCAGAACAGCCUGACCAUGAGGAUGGGCCCCUGUGGUAUACAACCUCAACUCUUCAAAGGUCACAAUUUCCAGCCUUCCAAGCAGUCUUCUAAUUACGAACAUGGUUUCCUCCUUUCACAUAAGAGAUUUGCGGGACUCAGAUCUCAGCACGGAUAUCCGGAGAGUGUGGGGUCAGGGAAGAGCAGCAAGAGGAAUGGAUAUCCAGAUAUAGGACACACUCAACAGAGAGAGAGAGAGAGAGGAGAGAGGAGAGAGAGGAGAGAGAGGAGAGAAAGGAGAGAGCCCUUGCACACAAUGCUUCCGUGUAUUGCUGUACUCCAUCCCUUGGUCUACAGCCAUAGCUGUACUUGGCAGAGCACAAUACUCUCUGUGGUUCUGCCUCUUGGCGUCAUGUUGUACUUUGAUCUUUGGUUAAGAAACCAUGCCUGAUUUAUGAAUGGCCAUCACGGAAGUUGCUUGUGUUCAUUUUCUGUGUGUGGAAUGGUCUGACUUGGCCUAUAUACUUCCCUGUCUCUACAGAGGAAGGUCUACCUGGGACAACAGACUAGGCCCUUAAAACUUUUCAUGGUUUAAAAACGAAACAAAACAAAAACAACAUUUUAUGGUUGAUGACUCCAGCCCAAAACAGUUAACAAAAUCUGAACCACGAAUGCCUUUUUAAUCUCAGGAGAAUAAUUGUCAUUUUCAUCAGUGUUUGACAGGACUCCUGUAAGACAGAGCUUGGGCACUGCUUCCUCAGCCUAACUUGCCUGGGCAGAAGGAGACAUGGCCAGAAGGUCUUAACCAUUUGCCUUGUAUGUGGUACUCUUUCUGAGGUCUCCAACUCUCUUAAAAUCCUAUUCAAGAUGAUCAUGUGGACUGCAAUCUCGUGGACAGCAGGAAAUGGACCCGAAGUGUCCCUGCACAGAGGGUCCUAACCAUCUGCGCUUGCUGCACCUGCACCAUCAGCUACCCUCUCUGAGGCACACUUCUGCUUCUUCAAAUGCCUGCAGGGACCAGGGGGCAGCCCAGAAGUGAAGACAGAAGGGAGGACAGCAAGGGAAGCCCCAGCUCAAAGAAGUGACUGGGCUAGGGCGGCCCUCCGUAAAGAUGCUUCUGCCUGCCUGCCGAGUGUCACUGUUGAGCUCUUCCCUAGUGCAGAGCUUUGCACUGCUUUCAUUUGUUUUUGUUAUUCACUCUUUCAUGCAAAACUGCAAUUGAACUGGAUCUGAAGACACUGAAAAAUGUCUGGGUAGGGGGCUGCAGGGAGCAGGGGUUUUCCUGAGAGAAUGGAAUGUCCCAUGAGAAAUUUCACUUACCAUGAGAGGGGAAGUCCGUUUCGUAUGACAUGAUAUAACACUGUCAUUAUAAACUCUCCGUUGGUUUCACAUGUGUUAAUAUUUAUCAUUCUUUUGAUUAGUUAUUCAUCAAGAAAACCCUGUGAAUUCUGAAAAAAUCAUCAUGUAUCAAGGGUUCCUCAGGCUAGGUGAUGGACACAGGAUCAUUUUCUCUAUUCUUUGCAACACAGAGCUUGCUUUUUAUUUUUAUUUAUUUAUUUUUUUAACCAAAUACCACUUGGUCUGCAGGCGAGGAGCUGUCCUUGCUCAGAUGAGACAAUCUCAUCUGAAGCAGCAACCUGGUACCAGGAUAUCAUGUUUACUCAUGAGAAUACCAUCAACCAUCAACCUUCAAGUGAAGGUUCAUCUGUACCUUUUUUUUUUUUUUUAAGACAGAGUCUCACUCCGUCCCCAAGGCUGGAGUGAAGUGGUGCGAUCUUGGCUCAUUGCAACCUCUGCCUCCUGGGUUCAAGCGAUUCUCGUGCCUCAGUCUCCCCAGUAGCUGGGAUUACAAGAGCAUGCCAACACUCCCUGCUAAUUUUUUAUAUUUUUAGUAGAGACAGGGUUUUGCCAUGUUGCCCAGGCUGCUCUUGAACUCCUGAGCUCAGGCAAUCCACCCACCUUGGCCUCCCAAAGUGCUGAGAUUACAGGUGUGAGCCACCGUGCCCGGUCUGACCUGUGCUUUUCACCUUCUCUGCACACCUGUGUGCCCUUUCUACAUGGGGCCCCAACUCCAGACCCCACAAACAACAACUAACAUGAGGACAACUGCUGGGAAGAGGCUCAAGCAAUUGCAGCAUGAUCACACAAGUGAUAACCACCAAGCCAAAGGGACAGGAAGCUCUCGGCAUUGUUGGUGUUUUACUCGAGCCAUGGUACAAAUAAUUCCCCGUGUGAGAUGUUGAAGGAGAGCAGCUGCCUCCCAUUGCUGGGCAGGGCCAGGCUCACUCAGCUGCUUGGAACACAUGGCAGGAACAAAUUUCUACUCAAGGCUUGGAUCGGGCAAUUGAUGCUUUCCCGAAAGGAAAUAAUGGCUGAGGAAGCGUCGAUGUCAGCAUUUCUUCAUGGAGGAAAAACACAUUUUGAUCUUUUCCUCAAACAAGUCAAUAAGGGAUACAAGCUCUGCCAAAGAUAUGCAGGAGAAUUCAGCUCCAAGGGAAGGAGCAGAAACCCCAACCCUGAAGUCCCAGACACACAGGGCCUGCCUGAGGCUGAGGCUAGACCAGGACAACAAAGAAUUCUCCUGCUUCCCACCACAACGAUUAUUCAUAGCAAGUAAGAAGAAGCAGCCUACCACUGGGAGAUGGCAAGAGCACAGAGAGAGAGAAUGUCUGUGGUGCAAGAGUACCAAGGAGGCCAAAGCUGAGGAUGAAGAAGGAACAUUGAGGAAAACUCUCCAGGACCUGAGCAGCCAUACUAAGCACCAGAGACCACUGAAGCCAGUGGUGCACUGAAGUGAACCAGAGCAGCAACAGAAGUCCAGUUCAACUCAACUCCUGACCAGAUUGAAUCAGGUUCCCAAAUAAACUACCAGAAGAAUCCAGUUCAACUCAACUCCUGACCAAAUUGAGUCAAGUUCCCAAAUAAACUACCUAGAAGAAGAAUUAUAACUAUUUCCAGGGAUAGAUACUAUAUACCUCAGUAUAUCAUAGCAAAACUGAAGGUAGGAACUCAAAAAGAUACUGCAGGCCAAAUUUCCUGGGAGAAAAAGAUGGAAGCAAUCCAAAUGUCUUAUCAACAGAUGAAUGGAUAGACAAAACAUGGCUUAUACAUGCAAUGGAAUAUUAAUCAGCUUUAAAAAGUAAUGAAGUUCUGAUACUUAAAUGAAUCUUGAAAACAUUAUGCUAAGUAAAAUAAGCUAGAACAAAAGGAUAAUUACUGUAUAAUUCCACAGUAAUUAUCCAAGAGGUACCAAGAGUUGUCAAACUCAUAUAGACAAAAGUAGAAUAGAGGUUACCAGGAGCUUGGGGGAGGUAAAAGUGAGGAAUUAUUAUUUGGGGUGAUAAAAAGUUAUAGAAAUGGAUGGUGCUUAUGGUUGCAUGUGUUGUGAAUGUACUUGAUGCCACCGAAUUGGACAUCUAAAAGUAGUUAAAAUGGGCUGGGUGCUGUGACUCGCACCUGUAAUCCUAGCACUUUGGGAGGCUGAAGCAGGUGGAUCAUUUGAGGUCAGGAGUUUGAGACCAGCCUGGCCAGCAUGGCGAAACCCCAUCUCUACUAAAAAUACAAAAAUUAGCUGGGUAUGGUGGCGGGCGCCUAUGACCCCAGCUACUUGGGAGGCUGAGGCGGGAGAAUCGCUUGAACCCAGGAGGUGGAAGUUGCAGUGAGCUGAGAUCACGCCACUGCACUCCAGCCUGGGCAACAAAGUGAGACUCCAUCUCAAAAAAAUAAAAAAAAAAUAGUUAAAAUGGUAAAUUUUAUAUUAUAUUACAUAUAUGUUUUACAAUUUUUAAAGUAACAUUUUUAAAAGAGUUCAUAAAAAUCUCCAGGCUCAGAUAGCUUCACUAGCAGAUUUACCAAACAUUUAAGAAAGAAAUAGUGCCAAUUUUACACAAACUUAGCAUAAGAAUUUUCUUCCACUUAGCAUAAUGUUUUCAAGGUUCACUCAUGUAUCAGAAUUUUAUUCCUUUUCAAAGCUUUCAGAUAAUUGAGAGAGAACACUUAUCCAUUCAUUCUGUGAAGUUAGCAUUGCGUUGGCACCAAAACCAGAUGAAAACAAUACAAGAAGAGAAAUCUACAGGCCAAUUCCCAUCAUGAAUAUAGGUGCAAAAAUCUUCAACAAAGGAUUAGCAAGUCAAAUAAAUGAUAUAUAAAAAUAUAAUAAAUCAUGACCAAGUGGAAUUUAUUCCAUGAAUGCUAUGCUGGUUCAAAUACUAAAAAAUUAAACAAUGUAAUUCACCAUAUCAAUAAAGAAAAUAAAUUAUCAUUUGAUGAGAUUCAGAAAAACCAUUUGACAAAAUCCAAAAUCCAUUUUUGAUAAAAACUCUCAGCAAACUAGGAAUAUGAGGGAACUUCCUCCAAGUGAGCAUCUACCAAAAAUUUGCCAACAUCACACUUAAUGGUGAGAAACUAAAUGUUUUCCCCUUAUGAUCAGAAACAAGAAGGGAUGCCCACUUUCACCAACCCUUUUCAACCUCAUAUUAGAGAUCCUAGCCAAAACACUAAAGUGAGGUGGGGAAGAGAAUACACAUUGAAAGAAAGAGAUAAAACUAUCUCUAUUUCCAUAUGACAUGAUUAUCUACGUAGAAAAUCUCAAAUAAUAUACAAAAAUGGCUAGAACUAGCAAAUGAAUUUAAUAAGACCAGAGGAUACAAGGUCAAUACUAAAAUAUCAGUAGUUUUAUUAUAUAAUACCAAUAAAAAGUAAUAAUUGAAAUUUUAAAACUGUAUUAUUUACAAUUGCACCAAUAAGCAGAAAAUACUUAGAUAUGAACCUAAUAGAGUUUAUAUGAGGUCUGUAUGUUUGAAAAUAAUAAAACACUGAGAGGCGAAAUCAAAGAUCUGAAUAAAUGGAUGUAUGCCAUGUACGCCAUGUCCGUGGACUGACAGACUCAAUAUUUCUAAAGUGCCAGUUUUCCCCCAAAUUGAUCUGUGGAUUCAGUGCUAUCCCAGUUAUAAUCCCUGAAGGAUUAUUUGUAGAAAUCAAUAAGCUUGUUCUAAAAUUUAUAUGGAAAGCCAAAGAAACUGUAA